CCUACGGGUGGCAGCAGUGAGGAAUAUUGGUCAAUGGACGGAAGUCUGAACCAGCCAUGUCGCGUGCAUGAAGACGGCUCUAUGAGUUGUAAACUGCUUUUGUACAAGGGUAAACCUGAAUACGUGUAUUCAGCUGAAAGUACUGUACGAAUAAGGAUCGGCUAACUCCGUGCCAGCAGCCGCGGUAAUACGGAGGAUCCAAGCGUUAUCCGGAUUUAUUGGGGUUAAAGGGUGCGUAGGCGGAGUGUUAAGUUAGAGGGGAAAUGUCCGAGCUUAACUCGGGAACUGCCUCUAAUACUGUUGACCUAGAGAGUAGAUGCGGUAGGCGGAAUGUAUGGUGUAGCGGUGAAAUGCAUAGAUAUCAUACAGAACACCGAUUGCGAAGGCAGCCUACCAAUCUAUGUCUGACGUUGAGGCACGAAAGCGUGGGGAGCAAACAGGAUUAGAUACCCCAGUAGUC
rnacentral:rRNA from 1 species